CUGGGAGGUGUGAUAUUGUGGU
rnacentral:miRNA from 1 species